AUUGAACGCUGGCGGCAGGCUUAACACAUGCAAGUCGAGCGGGGUGAUGGUGCUUGCACUAUCACUUAGCGGCGGACGGGUGAGUAAUGCUUAGGAAUCUGCCUAUUAGUGGGGGACAACAUCUCGAAAGGGAUGCUAAUACCGCAUACGUCCUACGGGAGAAAGCAGGGGAUCACUUGUGACCUUGCGCUAAUAGAUGAGCCUAAGUCGGAUUAGCUAGUUGGUGGGGUAAAGGCCACCAAGGCGACGAUCUGUAGCGGGUCUGAGAGGAUGAUCCGCCACACUGGGACUGAGACACGGCCAGACUCCUACGGGAGGCAGCAGUGGGGAAUAUUGGACAAUGGGGGGAACCCUGAUCCAGCCAUGCCGCGUGUGUGAAGAAGGCCUUAUGGUUGUAAAGCACUUUAAGCGAGGAGGAGGCUCUUUUGGUUAAUACCCAAGAUGAGUGGACGUUACUCGCAGAAUAAGCACCGGCUAACUCUGUGCCAGCCGCCGCAGUAA
rnacentral:rRNA from 1 species